CUCCGGCCCGGCCCCGGCGCUGUGCUCGCCCCGGCUGCCUCUGUUUGCAGGGUUCCCCCGCCCCUCUGCCAGACCCAGGCGGAGGGCAGCGAGGGUGAUUGGGAGACUGGAGCAUCUCACUUAGGAGGAAAGGCUGAGGGAGCUGGGCCUGUUCAGCCUCCAGAAGAGACAACUGAGACGGGAUCUCAUCAAUGUCUGUUCUGCAAGCCUUGAGAAUGGGAAGUUCUUCAGCAUCAGUCCCAGAAGUCCCUGCUCAUUUGGCAGCUCCCAUAGUAUCAUCACUGCUGAAGAUCAGGAGGAUAUAAAUGAAAGCAGGGAUCUUCUCAGACACUGCUUUUUUUCACUGAUUACCGUCCUUUGCAGUAACUGCCAUAAAGCUGGUAUGAAGUUUGUUAUAAAACACAACAAAAGUGGUUCACAACAAGCAGUGUAGGAGGGUAGGUGGGCACAUGGGGAGGAUGUGAAACAGAGGUUCUAGGAGCCCUGCUGGACCUCAUGUCACUGUUCCUUCAUAAAAGAACCUUCCUGGAAGCAGUAAUUCUUGCCAAGGAAUGUCAGAUACGCCAUCUAUUGCAGAGAGCAAAAGGAGAAUGACAUGUGCCAAAGUCUGAAGGGCCAUUCUUAUCUGGCUAUUGUUAUUAAGAAAUAUGGAAUAAAGCAGGUUGGGAGAAGAAGAAUUUUUCUACCUUUGGCCUAACCUACAGACCAAAUAAAGAGCACUGUAAUUCAGAGCUCCUCAGAGACAAACUUUUAAUCUCCCCAAAAGGGCUAAUGCUAAAGGCUGAGUCUUGAUGGGGCUCAAAUGUUCCUUAGGCUACUCACAGAUCAAGCAUGGUAAAUUUUCUUGACUAUUUUACUGGUUCAUAAUAUAUGAAAUUUUACUGUUUGUUAUUAUUUCCUACAUUAAAAAAAUCUUUAGAUGAAAGAUUUAGUUAUCUGCCUUAAAUCUCUAAAGCUACAGCCUUAUUUUUUCCUACAAAUCCCACCUGAAUGCCCACCUAGGUUAUGACUACUGCAACACACAGAUUAGUGCUUACAACCUGUUAGUUUGCAAGCUUCUAUUUUUCAGUGCACUCUCAUGUUUCUUCUUCUCCCAUCUUCUUAAUUUUUAAUACCAAUUAAAAGGGAAAAGGCUACGAUUCUUCUCAUGAACAAAGCAGUGUCAUAGGACAUUUGCAUAUUCCUAUGCAAAUCUGCAAAACUCCUCUUCAUUUUAUCUUUCUCUGUCACACUGAUAUAUGGAGAGUAAAACCAAUUUGUUUCUUUGAUAUCAAAGUUAUAUAUAUUAUAUAUAUAUGUAUGUAAGUCUAAACACAUAUAUAGACAUAUAUGCUUCUGCUUCUUCUGCAGAUGGCUAAUAGUUCUACAAUCUUCAUCACAAUCCUGUUCACUUCUAACUACAGCAAAUUCUGGCAAUGCUGUCCUAAAUAGGCAAAAGGCACUUCUUAACUGCAAGUCCCUCUUAACUCUCCUUUUUAGCAAUUCAGCUCAUUUAGAUGAACUAUGCCUAGCACAAAAGCCUUUCUUUCCUUGGAACAAAACAAAACUUCCAGAAAUUAUCAGUCUCUAUUUGGUCAGUUUCCAAAAUGAUCAGGCUCAAAAUUUCUGUCACUCUCCAUGAUGAGACCAGUCUUACCACCGAGUUAUAUUUUACUUCUUUCAGCAUGAUUUUAAGAAUUAUUUGUCUCAAAAGGUUUUCCUAGUGGUCAUUAAGUGGGUGAAAAGUACAUAUGAAAAAAACCAAUCUUUCACAUCUCAGUUAAGUUCAUUGUAGUAAAAUUAAUGAUUUCUUCUGGAAACUAUAUAAAUUAAAAAUAUAGAACAGAAAAGCCCAGGGAGGGAACUCUUCCAGAAUUGGUAAUCUAGGCCAGCUGCCAGUAAAUAUAGACUUUAAAAAGUUAAAUUCAGCAGUGGGAUUUGGGGAGGCAGUGCAGUGAAGGAGAACUGAGCAGUGUGCAACGUUGGCUGAACAACUGUGCUUUCCCCACCGUCAGUCAUAGGACUCUCCUAAGCCUGGUAAAACACUAGGAAUGUUCACUCUUUCUGGCUGUCAUCUUUUCCAACUCAGAUCUUGUCUUGAUAGUUAAAUUGCACAGACACGAUCAAAUAUAAUUCUGUAGACCGCCACUCUAGCACAAACAGACACCACCCUAACAUCUAAAAUCUUGAAAGAAGUGAAGAUAGUUUAGCAAGAGGGACAAAGCACUUUGGCAAGCAAAGGAAAAAGAAGUCUCACAUCGUGCUUAAAAUGAAAAAGAGAAACGUAUCAAGAACUGCUUGUUGAUCUGCUUGGUUUUGUAUUGAUCAUUGUAUUGCAAUUGUGGAAAUUCUAUAGCUCUGUCUCACUGAACUGGGACUUCUGACUAGAUCCACAACAUGAACGUCCAUCUGAAACAGGGGGCCUGUUUUCACGCCACUGAGAGGAUGGUUUAAGAAUUAAAGGUACCACUCACUGUCAACAUUUUACAAAUAGAAAACUUGACUGAAACGGAAUUUACUAAUGAAAUUAAAGGGUAUAGGACACUCAGGAAACAGAUGUUGAAGGAGCAAGAGAUUCUAGAAAUAUACGUAAGGCUGCAUAUUGCAACAGAUAUUUAAAGCCUGAAAAUGCUCGCCAAGGGAAUGAAAAUUAAAUGUGUAAUUUCUAAGAGCAAAAAGAGUUCUCACCAUGAAAAAUGGAGAAAAAACAUCUUGUAGCUCCUAAAAAUGGAAUGCUAAACAAAUAUUAGGUUGGCUAAGAAUCUGCACAGGUGGCUGCCCACUAUCACAGCUUCCACGACUUCCACAAACUUCCCCAUCUCAGGUGGGCUGGAAUAGAACUGAUGACCUUGUCUCCGUACCACCCAAGGGAAGAUAUUAAUCCUCUGGCCUCACAGCAAGAGCUGUGCUCUUCAUGCCAUUACCCAGCCAGGCCUCUAGAAGAACAGCUAAUUUAUUGCUUCCUGAGUUCUUUUUUUUUUUUUUUCAUCUUCAGCCUCCUUAGAAAGAAUGUAGUUUUAAGAUGUACAAAAACAACAACAAAAAACCCUCUACUGUUAUAAAACAGUAUAAUAGAAAACUAUUAUAGUUUUCUAUAAUAAAUAGAAAAACUUAAUAAUAGACAAAGCAUAAAAAUGAAACUAUAAGAAAAAUGUGUAGGUAUUAAAAAGCUGUAAACAGACCUAAAACUCUAGCCAUAGAAAUGUUUAUUCUCUUUAACUCUCAUUGCUUUCUCCUGUAUCUUCUUAAUUGCAUCUGAAUGUAUUUUCCAUGACAAGAAGUCUUUUAAGAGGAAUGAAAUACUGAAAAAUAACCUUCAUUUGAAUAAUUUUGGUUCAAUGGUACUUUGCUCCCUUUUAGUUUACCCCUCAUAAUCCUUUGAAUGGAAAUACUCAUUGUGCUUUUUUUACAGUUUUCAUAUUGGCAAUCACUGCCUAAGUCAAAUGUGUUAUAGACUUUGCCUCUGAAAACAUUAAACAUGAAAUUGUCAUGCCAGAGAUAACAAAACAUACUGCAUCUGCUUAAUUUUCAAAUGUCAAAUGACAUACCAUAAAUAGGACUGUUAAAUGAAUAAAAAUACAAUGGGACCUGGAUUUAGCUGUUGGUUUGUAAGACAAAGUUUGAAAUGUGUUAUGCUUUGGAAUAUGUAGGAAAUAGUAUUUGGCCUAAAAGUUGGUUAUCAUUCCGUUUCCAUAAACUGCACGGAAAGUGUAAAUAUUAUGGCAUUUGUCGUCUACACACUUGGUUGCCAGCUGAGCAUGUAUACAGAGAAUAUCCAAAUGAAAGGUUAAAAGCAAACAAACCAAUAUACAUAUGAAAAUAACUUAAAGCACAAUAUAAUGACCCUCAGCACUGAAGGAAACAAACUUGGGAGAUGUUCAUGUGAAUGUUGAGUAUUACUGGACAGCCCAUAAUGCAACAUUUGGGUUAGUGCCAUAUUCAGUCCUUACAGGGUCUCACGAAAAAGAAAUUCAGUGGAGGCUGCCCAAGUGGGAAUUUAAGACAGAGAUGUAGUUCUCCUACUAAAAGAAAUUUUAGCAGUAGGAAGAACAUUAACUUUACACCUGAUGUUGCACACAUAUUUUAGGUGAAAAACGUACUUACUAUGAAAAGACUGAAGGUCACUAACUUCUCCUAUGACUUGAAAUGCCAGCUGGAAUCUUAACUUUCAGUAUAACACUGUAAUCUUUUAUUCAACAAAGUGUUUUUUUUAGUAAACUCUUCUUAUACGUAAGACUCAAGCUGCAUUAAAAUAAAGGUUUCUGCUUAAAACUCAGUUCCACAGGCAUCCUAAAUUUGGCAUACUAGGAUACUUUCUACAUCAUUCCUUAAAUUCCUGUAAAGACCUCUCCCACUUACAGCAGCAGCUUCUGCUUAAAACUCCAACAAGGUCUCAUUCUUUGCACAUUAGAUUUAUAAAUAUAGACUCUUUACUUGGCAAAAUGAAAAAAUAUUAAAAACUCAAACUAAUAAACAACAGUGAAUGGAUUAAGUUUUCUGAAAACACUGUGUAUUCUGUUGCUUCUCUCUCUUCUUUUUCCCGAGUUCACUAAAAAAUUUAAGUUCUGCUAGACUGCAGAAACACAUUUACAAUGCAAAUUUCUCAACCUCCUCAACCACCAAGGUUCAAGGAUGACUACUCACUAAACUUACAAAACACAGUAAAUAGUUUGUUUUUCUAAAUUUGAACACAUCUACUGGAAUAAUACACUCAAGACUUUUCAUAUUGAUUGUUCAUUUAUUUGCAGGGGCAAUGUUAAAUAAGAUAACUAUGCAAAGGUAUUUAAUUUCUAGUGUGUAAGAAAAGUACUUCAAUUAAUCCACAGCCUGAAUACAUUUACAGAAGCACACAGGUCACAGAUACAAAUAUUGGAAAUGGAUAGAUUCAAGCAAUCCCUUAUUUAAAUCUGGUUUUAGACUAAGUUAACAAAUAUAACAAAUAUAAGGGAAAAAACUCAAUGGCGGUUUCUGAAAAGCCCUACACAUAGUAUAAUAGGAUGUAAACUCCUUUUCCUGAUUCACUGUCUUGAAGAGAUACCUCUCAAACACAUGCAGAGAAAGGCUAGAGAAUUACCAUCAAUUCAUUUCUCUUACCUUCCUGUAGAGACUACCUGUUUUUGUCACAAUAUCAUUCUUACGGUUUUUUACAACAAUUACGUAGUAUAAUACCCACAGGGUUUUAUGUCUGUCACGCCACAGUACUGUGAUUUCUGUUGCUAUUUUGAAGUGGAACACUGUCUGGUGCUAUUGUUCAAUGUUUUAGUACACAUUUCAUAGCAUAGAGAUGAUUGUAAACAAAACCACAAAUAAAGGCCUGUGCUAAUCAAAGUAAGAGUGAGAAUUAUUUAUGUGCUUUGCCAAUUUGUCUCAUUCUGUAACAGGUAACAAAUGGGUACUAGAAAGUACCUAUAAAGGCUGACAUCAGCUGUA